rnacentral:rRNA from 1 species
UACGUAGGGUGCAAGCGUUGUCCGGAAUUAUUGGGCGUAAAGAGCUUGUAGGCGGUUUGUCGCGUCUGCUGUGAAAUCUCAAGGCUCAACCUUGAGCUUGCAGUGGGUACGGGCAGACUAGAGUGUGGUAGGGGAGACUGGAAUUCCCGGUGUAGCGGUGAAAUGCGCAGAUAUCGGGAGGAACACCGGUGGCGAAGGCGGUUCUCUGGGCCUUACCUGACGCUGGAGGAGCGAAAGCGUGGGGAGCGAACAGG